UACGGAGGGGGCUAGCGUUGUUCGGAAUUACUGGGCGUAAAGCGCACGUAGGCGGACUGUUAAGUCGGGGGUGAAAUCCUGGGGCUCAACCUCAGAAUUGCCUCCGAUACUGGCAGUCUCGAGUGCGGGAGAGGUGAGUGGAAUUCCCAGUGUAGAGGUGAAAUUCGUAGAUAUUGGGAAGACCACCAGUGGCGAAGGCGGCUCACUGGCCCGUAACUGACGCUGAGGUGCGAAAGCGUGGGGAGCAAACAGG
rnacentral:rRNA from 1 species